rnacentral:rRNA from 1 species
UACGUAGGGGGCAAGCGUUGUCCGGAAUGAUUGGGCGUAAAGGGCGCGUAGGCGGCUUUGUAAGUCUGGAGUGAAAGUCCUCUUUUCAAGGGAGGAAUUGCUUUGGAAACUAUAGAGCUUGAGUGCAGGAGAGGUUAUCGGAAUUCCCGGUGUAGCGGUGAAAUGCGUAGAUAUCGGGAGGAACAUCGGUGGCGAAGGCGGGUAACUGGACUGCAACUGACGCUGAGGCGCGAAAGUGUGGGGAGCAAACAGGAUUAGAUACCCUGGUAGUCCACACGGUAAACGAUGAAUGCUAGGUGUAGGAGGUAUCGACCCCUUCUGUGCCGCAGUUAACACAAUAAGCAUUCCGCCUGGGGAGUACGGUCGCAAGAUUAAA